rnacentral:rRNA from 1 species
GCAGGCUGCAACUCGCCUGUAUGAAGUCGGAAUUGCUAGUAAUCGUGGAUCAGCAUGCCACGGUGAAUACGUUCCCGGGCCUUGUACACACUGCCCGUCACACCAUGAGAGCCGGGAACACCCGAAGUCCGUAGUCUAACCUAUAUGGAGGACGCGGCCGAAGGUGGGUUUGGUAAUUGGGGUGAAGUCGUAACAAGGUAUC